GACGUGGCAUAUUUGCCCUAUCUUCAUUCUCCAAAGGAGAUUUUGUACUGGAAUACAGAGGAGACAUGAUAGAUGAUGCAGAAUCCCAAAGGAGAAGACGCAUUUACCACCCAUCAUGUGUUGCAUUCAUGUUCUCAUUCAAGUGGAGAGGGAGAACAUGGUGGUAAGAUUUUAAAUUACACCUAAACUAUACUCCUUAUGCUAAACCAUAAUAAUCUCCUUACACUUUGCUCAUAGUUAAAAUGAAGGCACUGAUUUUGUUGUAUACAUUGUGUGACACAUAGUAUGUAGGGUCUGUCAUCCUGCGAUGUAAUUGAACUGUACAAAGGUUUGACAUAUAUCUUGAGUAAGAAUAACUGAAAGAGAUGAUUGUGUAAUAUUGUUUUCCCCUUUUUCUUGUUGUCCUGAAGUAUUGAUGCUUCGCAAGAAGAUGGAUCAUUUGGACGGCUUGUCAAUGAUGAGCACAUACGUCCGAACUGUAGGAUGAAAAGGAUUGACGUGGAUAGGAAACCACACUUAUGUUUGUUUGCCUUAAAUGAUAUCCAACAUGGAGAGGAAAUUACAUAUGACUACGGAGGUGAAGACUGCCCACAGAGAAUGCAAAUGACCAUGAAUGCAGCUGAUGUCAUCAUUCCUGUGGACAGCUCCCACCCUGCUGACUUGUUAGAGACUCGGAUGGAUGAAACUGCCCAAGACACUAAUCAACAGAUGACCAUGAAUGCGGCUGAUGGUGUCAUUUCUGGGGAAAGCUCCCACUCUGCUGUCUUGUUAGGACCACACAUGGACGAAACUGCCCAAGACACUAAUCAACAGAUGACCAUGAAUGCGGCUGAUGGUGUCAUUUCUGGGGAAAGCUCCCACUCUGCUGUCUUGUUAGGACCACACAUGGACGAAACUGCCCAAGACACUAAUCAACAGAUGACCAUGAAUGCGACUGAUGUCAUCAUUCUUGGGGAAAUCUACCACUCUGCUGUCUUGUUAGAGAUUCAGAGUGAUGACGUUUCGAGUCCACAAGACACUAAUCAACAGAUGACCAUGAAUGCAGCUGAUGUUGUCAUCCCUGAGGAAAGCUCCUACCCGGCUGUCUUUGUAGAGAUGCAGAUGGAUGAAGCUUUUGAUCCACCAGACUCUAAUCAGCAGAUGAAAGACACAGAUGUUGAAGAGUCAAAUGAUGAAUCUGACUCUGCAUCAGGGAGUAGUGAUGAGUACAUACCAGAUACCACUUCUGAAAGUGAAGAGAGUGAUGCGAGCCUGAAACCAAGGACCAAACCCUUUUCUCUUGAUGACGUAUUGAAUGACUCCGGUUCAAUGAGUCCCCCAGUCUGUGACACGACAACUUUAGACCAUGUGAUCUUUGACAGCAACACAACAACAUAUGAGGUCACUGAAGCAGACGGACCCUGCACAAGUCAAGACAUUACUGACAGCAUAGUUGUUCGUGCUUCCAAAAAAAGAAAUGGCAAUAGAGUGUACAACAAGAGACAUUAUUGCUUGUAUUGCAGGAAACCUUAUGCCAAGAUGGCAAGACAUCUAGAAAGUGCACACCAAGAUAAAUCAGAUGUGGCCAAAGCUCUUAGCUUUCCGAAAGGUUCCAAGGAAAGUAAAAAACAGCUGGAUUAUAUUCGCAACAGAGGCAACUAUGCUCACAAUGCUGCUGUUAUGGAGUCAGGGAAUGGAGAAUUGGUACCAUUUAAACAACCACCUAAAGAAGCAAAAGGAGGUGAUUUCAUGCACUGUGCAUACUGCCAAGGACUUUUUACAAGAAAGGUCCUGUGGCGACACAUGCGAAGUUGUAAACUCCAACCUGGAUCAGUUCGCCCCAGACCAGGAAAGAACCGUGUUCAGUCUUUGUGUACACUUACACCCAGGGCGGUGCCUUCACACAUAAGUAAACAAUUGUGGGGAGUUAUCAGUGCCAUGAAGCCUGAUCCAAUCACGGAUACAAUAAAAAAUAGACCACUGUCAUUACUUGAUGUUGGGCGNGCACCU
rnacentral:lncRNA from 15 species